UCUUUAUUAACUAUACGGUGUUCUCUCAACAGCUGAGACGUCAACUGCUGGAAAGACUUUUGGACAAAAUACAAUUGGCAUUUUCCACAACCCCACUGAAUUUGGACUCUAUAGAAUUUGUUUGUCGCCAGGAGCUGUAUCUUCUGCAGGCCCUAUCCAAUCACAUCCAAGCACUGCCAUUAUCCAGGCUUUGCAGGAACUUUUUCAACUUGUGAAAGCACAACUGGAACAUCCGGCCCCAAGUAUCACAGUGGAGAACACAGGCACCCAAGGACGGCCCAGAGUUUUGGUUGAUGAACAGCGUUUGAAGGAAGUGCUUGAUGUCCAGCUUCCUGUGCCUUGCAUAGCUUCACUGAUGGGUGUGUCAAGAAGGACAAUCUACAGACGAAUGAAAGAGAAUGAACUCUCCGUCAGGGAAAUGUACAGUCUCAUCACCGAUGAUGAACUUGACAAUUUGGUUUCUUCCAUCAAGAAUGAUUGACCAAAUGCAGGCGACAGGAUGGUAAAAGGCAGACUGGAGUCUCUGGGACACAGAGUUCAGUGGAGACGAGUUGCAGCCUGCGUGCACAGAGUUGAUUCCAUGGGCAUCAUCUCAAGGCUGUCAAGUCUUGGCUGUGUUGUACGCAGAGUGUCCACAUGCACCAGGGCCAUUGUCCCUGGUGCAUGUGGACACAAAUCACAAGUUGAUCAGAUACAACAUUGUCAUAUUUGGAGGAAUCGAUGGUUUUUCCAGAAAGAUACUGUACUUGAAUGCAGCAACAAACAACUGUGCUUCAACAGCAUUUCAGUUCUUCCUGGAGGCCACUCAGCAGCAUGGUUUACCC